GCGAUGCUCACGAAAGCCCUGAGGAUGCUCAUAUCUCAAGACACUUCACAAGAUCAGCAAGUAUCAUCCCAAAUCCCAUGCGAAUGCUUGUGCAUAUAACAUUCCUGGAAUUACCAUUUUCCCCUCCUUAAUGCCGACAUUUUGUUCAUGUAAGUAUAAUGAUUCAGAGCUGUCAUCUAAAAGUAAUACACGUGAACAGAUGGCAGCAAAAUAAAGUGUCUGAAUCCCUGUUCCCUCUCUGCUGCAUGUGGCCGUACUGAGCUGAAAGCUGCACUGAAACUCUUAAUCCCAGAAGCCUCUCGCCUGCCAACGAGGCCAAUUAAGCAGGGUGAGCAAUGGCCAAGAAAGCAGCACAAUCAGACAUUGAAAUCAGACAUCGUCAUCAGACAUAGACAUCAGUGAAGGGAAAGAAAGCAGCACAAUCAGACAUUGAAAUCAGACAUCGUCAUCAGACACGUCAGUGAAGGGAGAAGUGAAGGAAAGAACACAGUUGUCUUCGAGAUCUUUAAACUCAGGAACAAGCACAGCCACACAAUUCUGUAACAAAUCUCUAAAAUCUGAUCUAGAUUCAAACCCCUCCAGUUUCAGAGGUUUCUGUAAAUCAGUCCAUAUUGAUAGCUAAAUAGCUAAAUUCUGUCUUACCAAAUUCAUAUCAUACUUUUGGGUUCUAAAUCUGAAUAUAUACACUUGACAGACCUGACAGAAAAGGUCUUAACUGUAGUUAUUGGAGGUUUUAAUUGAUUGAGGAAUUACAUCCCUGCUCUGGAUACCACUGUUUGUUAUUAUUCACUUUUAAACCUUUUUAUCACUU